AUAGAACCAAAGUAAAAGCACACACAAGAAUAAUAACUCAAUAUGAGUCAUUCAUAGCUCUCUCUCUCUCUCUCUCUCUCUCUCUCUCUCUCUCUCUCUCCCUCUCUCUCUCUCUCUCUCAAUUAAUUUUCUCCAUCCCAGGCACUCCCUGCACUCCGUGUAAUUUAGAAGGCAUGACCUUGAAAGACAGCAAAUGAGGACUAUCUAAGGAAGGCUGGAAUGCUAAACAAGUUGCAAGUAAAAUAAAGCAGACACUAGAAUUCUGUCAGACUGGCCGGAGAGGUGGCUGGGUGUUAAAGAUGAGAAGUGAAGUUGUGAACAUGGGGCCGAAAUUGCAAGGUUGGACUGGUGAUGAGUAUCAUCCAAGGUGUUACCCUGGAGCAUUGAGCUAGCUCCAAGUAUCAUCCCAGGGAGGUGUUAGCCUCGAGCAUCGAGCUAGCUCCAGAUUACCUUCAUGUCCUAGAGCUCUGAGCAAGGUUGCCUAUGUCUACUACAUCUAGGUGUCUACCACAGUAACUGGCGAGAGGAGGGGCAAACAGGAAUAUAAAUCCUAUAUUCCUAAGGAUACUUUUGAAACUCUUGACCAGCAAAUUAAUAAAAGUAGUCAAGCUGCAAGUCAUCAGCCAUUGACAGUAGCACAAAGAACGUUUGAGCUUGAGUGCAGUUCAAUGGCACUACUUCAUCAUUCUCUCAACAGGAGAACACAGGUCUCCAAGACUCAAGUGAAUCACUCAGAUGGUAAGCAGGGCUCAAUGCUAUGAGCAAUUAAUGUUAUUUUAGCAUAUUUUCAAAAUUCCAUGAUAAGCAUGGCUAACAUCAUAAAUAUUAAUUAUGACACAAGAGAAAGAAAGCAAUCUUUAAAAGUAGUUGAAAAAGAAUGACUAGAAUUCCCAGUGACUUCAGAUACAUGCCUUCUUUUCUCAGUUCUCAACUGGCAUACAGAAAGUAGAAGGCCAUCACAUCUCUGUCUUUUUCUGAAAGACAUGUAUUCACAUGAAGGCAGCCGAUAGGGGGAGGGUGGGUAGGUAGACUGCUACUAUUCAAUGGCGGGAAGAAAAACUCCAUAUUUAAGUCAUUACAACACCCUAGGUAUUAUUUUCCCAGGAUUAGAAGUAUUCCAAAACUAACGUUACAGUGGCACUGAAUGACCAUGA
rnacentral:lncRNA from 1 species